rnacentral:rRNA from 1 species
GAUGAACGCUGGCGGUAUGCUUAACACAUGCAAGUCGAACGGACUCUUCGGAGUUAGUGGCGGACGGGUGAGUAACGCGUGAGAAUCUGGCUUUGGGUUCGGGACAACCACUGGAAACGGUGGCUAAUACCGGAUGUGCCGAGAGGUAAAAGAGAAAUUGCCUGAAGAUGAGCUCGCGUCUGAUUAGCUAGUUGGUGAGGUAAAGGCUCACCAAGGCAGCGAUCAGUAGCUGGUCUGAGAGGAUGACCAGCCACACUGGGACUGAGACACGGCCCAGACUCCUACGGGAGGCAGCAGUGGGGAAUUUUCCGCAAUGGGCGAAAGCCUGACGGAGCAACACCGCGUGAGGGAAGAAGGCUCUUGGGUUGUAAACCUCUUUUCUUAGGGAAGAACAAAAUGACGGUACCUAAGGAAUCAGCAUCGGCUAACUCCGUG